GAUGAACGCUGGCGGCGUGCCUAAUACAUGCAAGUCGAGCGAACAGACGAGGAGCUUGCUCCUCUGACGUUAGCGGCGGACGGGUGAGUAACACGUGGAUAAUCUACCUAUAAGACUGGGAUAACUUUGGGAAACCGGAGCUAAUCCCGGAUAAUCUAUUGAACCGCAUGGUUCAAUAGUGAAAGACGGUUUUGCUGUCACUUAUAGGUGGAUCCGCGCCGCAUUAGCUAGUUGGGAAGGUAACGGCUUACCAAGGCGACGAUGCGUAGCCGACCUGUGAGGGUGAUCGGCCACACUGGAACUUAGACACGGUCCAGACGCCUACGGGAGGCAGCAGUAGGGAAUCUGCCGCAGUGGGCGAAAGCCUGACGGAGCAACGCCGCGUGAGUGAUGAAGGUCUUCGGAUCGUAAAACUCUGUUAUUAGGGAAGAACAAAUGUGUAAGUAACUAUGCACGUCUUGACGGUACCUAAUCAGAAAGCCACGGCUAACUACGUG
rnacentral:rRNA from 1 species